rnacentral:rRNA from 1 species
CCUACGGGAGGCAGCAGUGGGGAAUAUUGCACAAUGGGGGAAACCCUGAUGCAGCGACGCCGCGUGAGUGAAGAAGUAUCUCGGUACGUAAAGCUCUAUUAGCAGGGAAGAAAAUGACGGUACCUGACCAAGAAGCCCCGGCUAACUACGUGCCAGCAGCCGCGGUAAU